rfam:Capsicum annuum cultivar Zunla-1 chromosome 4, whole genome shotgun sequence
GUUCCCUCAAGGAUAUUCGAUAAAAUUGGAACAAUACAGAGAUUAGCAUAGCCCUGCACAAGGAUGACACGUAGAUAUCGAGAAAUGAUCCAAAUUUUC